CAUAAAAGUCUUAUUUACUUAAGUCAGAUUAACAAAAACACAUGAUCUUGCAAUUCUUGGACUUUUGUCCGUUUUCUAGAGACUUCUCACUUAGGCAGUUUACUACAAAGUAUGUUCCCAGGAAUAAUAAAAAAAUAUUACAAAACAC